CAGCCGCCACGGGAAUACGUAGGGUGCAAGCGUUAAUCGGAAUUACUGGGCGUAAAGCGUGCGCAGGCGGUUUUGUAAGACAGAGGUGAAAUCCCCGGGCUCAACCUGGGAACUGCCUUUGUGACUGCAAGGCUAGAGUACGGCAGAGGGGGAUGGAAUUCCGCGUGUAGCAGUGAAAUGCGUAGAUAUGCGGAGGAACACCGAUGGCGAAGGCAAUCCCCUGGGCCUGUACUGACGCUCAUGCACGAAAGCGUGGGGAGCAAACAGGAUUAGAUACCCCUGUAGUCCCUGUCUCUUAUAC
rnacentral:rRNA from 1 species